rnacentral:rRNA from 1 species
UACGUAGGGGGCUAGCGUUGUCCGGAAUCAUUGGGCGUAAAGAGCGUGUAGGCGGCCCGGUAAGUCCGCUGUGAAAGUCCAGGGCUCAACCCUGGAAAGCGGGUGGAUACUGCCGGGCUAGAAUCCGGAAGAGGCGAGUGGAAUUCCUGGUGUAGCGGUGGAAUGCGCAGAUAUCAGGAGGAACACCAAUAGCGAAGGCAGCUCGCUGGGACGGUAUUGACGCUAAGGCGCGAAAGCGUGGGGAGCAAACAGG